rnacentral:tRNA from 1 species
GUGGUACAAAUGGUUAAUGCAUUUGGCUGUUAACCAAAAGGUUGGUGGUUUGAGUCCACCC